AUGUGGUUUCGGGACCUAUACUCUUCUAAUCUAGCAAUGCUUGCGAAACAAUGCUGGAGGCUGAUAACUGAACCAGAAUGUUUGGUGGCGAGAGUGCUUAAGGCAAAGUAUUACCCAAAUGGGUCUCUACUGGAGGCAACACCAAAGAAUGGCUCCUCGUUUACUUGGCAAAGUAUUCUAAAAGGGCUUGGCACCUUCAAAAAAGGUUAUAUAUGGAGAAUUGGAACUAGAGAUAAGGUACACAUUUGGAGAGACCCAUGGAUUCCAUCUAGUGUAGACAGAAUGAUAAUCACUCCAAGAGGUCAAACAAUCAUUAUGAAAGUAUGUGAAUUAAUUGAUCCGGUUAAUGGGUCAUGGGAUGAAGCCUUGAUUACAGAGUUCUUUAGUCUGGUGGAUGUUCGUAGAAUACUUCAGAUUCCAUUACAUUUGCAAGGUUUUUGGUGA
rnacentral:rRNA from 1 species